rnacentral:rRNA from 1 species
GACGAACGCUGGCGGCGUGCCUAAUACAUGCAAGUCGAACGCUUCUUUCCUCCCGAGUGCUUGCACUCAAUUGGAAAGAGGAGUGGCGGACGGGUGAGUAACACGUGGGUAACCUACCCAUCAGAGGGGGAUAACACUUGGAAACAGGUGCUAAUACCGCAUAACAGUUUAUGCCGCAUGGCAUAAGAGUGAAAGGCGCUUUCGGGUGUCGUUGAUGGAUGGACCCGCGGUGCAUUAGCUAGUUGGUGAGGUAACGGCUCACCAAGGCCACGAUGCAUAGCCGACCUGGGAGGGUGAUCGGCCACACUGGGACUGAGACACGGCCCAGACUCCUACGGGAGGCAGCAGUAGGGAAUCUUCGGCAAUGGACGAAAGUCUGACCGAGCAACGCCGCGUGAGUGAAGAAGGUUUUCGGAUCGUAAAACUCUGUUGUUAGAGAAGAACAAGGACGUUAGUAACUGAACGUCCCCUGACGGUAUCUAACCAGAAAGUCACGGCUAACUACGUG